rnacentral:rRNA from 1 species
CUACGGGUCGCACCAGUAGGGAAUUUUCGGCAAUGGGCGAAAGCCUGACCGAGCAAUGCCGCGUGAACGAUGAAGGCCUUCGGGUUGUAAAGUUCUGUUAUCAGGGAAGAACAUACGGAUUAGGAAAUGACUCCGUACUGACGGUACCUGAUCAGAAAGCUCCGGCUAACUACGUGCCAGCAGCCGCGGUAAUACGUAGGGAGCAAGCGUUAUCCGGAAUUAUUGGGCGUAAAGCGUGCGUAGGCGGUUCGUUAAGUCAAAUCUGAAAGCCCACAGCUUAACUGUGGAGGGCGAUUUGAAACUGGCGAACUUGAGUACGGCAGAGGUUAGUGGAAUUCAAUGUGUAGCGGUGGAAUGCGUAGAUAUAUUGAGGAACACCAGUGGCGAAGGCGGCUAACUGGACCGGAACUGACGCUGAGGCACGAAAGCGUGGGGAGCAAACAGGAUUAGAUACCCCUGUAGUC